AUUACUUUAGCAAAAAAUGCAUUAAAUUUAGAUUUUAAUAAUGAAUUUAUUUUUAUUAAAUUCAAGUAAUU
rnacentral:tRNA from 1 species